AACGCGAAGAACCUUACCUAGGCUUGACAUGUAUUUGACAGUUGUAGAAAUACAAUCUUUCGGAUUUCGGUUCGGACAGAUACACAGGUGCUGCAUGGCUGUCGUCAGCUCGUGUCGUGAGAUGUUGGGUUAAGUCCUCUAACGAGCGCAACCCUUGCUAUUAGUUGCUACUUACGUGAGUAAGGCACUCUAAUGGGACUGCCUGGGAAACCAGGAGGAAGGUGGGGACGACGUCAAGUCAUCAUGGUCCUUAUGUCUAGGGCUACACACGUGUUACAAUGGUCGGUACAAAGGGCUGCAAGCUCGCGAGAGUAAGCCAAUCCCUAAAGCCGAUCUAAGUUCAGAUUGGAGUCUGCAACUCGACUCCAUGAAGUUGAAAUCGCUAGUAAUCGCGUAUCAGCAACGACGCGGUGAAUACGUUCUCGGGCCUUGUACACACCGCGUGUCU
rnacentral:rRNA from 1 species